ACUGAGACACGGUCCAGACUCCUACGGGAGGCAGCAGUGGGGAAUUUUGGACAAUGGGCGCAAGCCUGAUCCAGCAAUGCCGCGUGAGUGAAGAAGGCCUUCGGGUUGUAAAGCUCUUUUGUCAGGGAAGAAACGGUGGGGGCUAAUNCCUCCACUAA
rnacentral:rRNA from 1 species